rnacentral:RNase_P_RNA from 1 species
AGAAAUGUGAGGAAAGUCCGUGCAUUCAAGGACAGGCCGCCGGAGAAAGUCCGGACGGUGUGAACCGGUGGAAAGGACCACAGAAAUGCAGACGUGAACCGUUGUGAGCGCAAGCGAACAGUCAUUAAUUUGGCAGACGGAGUCACGCAAGACUGCCGAUGGAUUUGAAAAAAUCACAGGCGAUGGUGCAACGGUGAGUUAAGAGCAUCACCAGCAAUACCGGAAGGUAUUGGCUAGGCAACCCCCGGCCGAAUGCAAGAUAGACACGAAGGUUAUAAAGGCUGUCCGCCCACUUCGGAAAUAUCGCUAGAGUUUGCGGGUAACCGCAAUCCCAGACAGAUGAUUAUCUAGAAACAGAACACGGCUUAUGAACUGCUUU